GCCCGGACUUGGCAACGUCUCGAUCCCACCACGAAAGAGCAUUGUCCGUCAGCUGGGCUGCUGCUAGGGCAACCUUCUUGGCCUCACUAUAUUGGUAAUAGUCGAAGAUGUACUCCAUGCGCUUCUCCCACACGAUGUAGGCAUCCGGAUCAACCUUGCCGGCAAACGUUGGGGGAUGAAGCUUAAGCGCCUUGCCUCCCAACCAGGGCUCUUCC
rnacentral:lncRNA from 1 species